rnacentral:rRNA from 1 species
GGGUUGUGAGGUUAAGCGACUAAGCGUACACGGUGGAUGCCCUGGCAGUCAGAGGCGAUGAAGGACGUGCUAAUCUGCGAUAAGCGUCGGUAAGGUGAUAUGAACCGUUAUAACCGGCGAUUUCCGAAUGGGGAAACCCAGUGUGAUUCGUUACACUAUCAUUAACUGAAUCCAUAGGUUAAUGAGGCGAACCGGGGGAACUGAAACAUCUAAGUACCCCGAGGAAAAGAAAUCAACCGAGAUUCCCCCAGUAGCGGCGAGCGAACGGGGAGCAGCCCAGAGCCUGAAUCAGUGUGUGUGUUAGUGGAAGCGUCUGGAAAGGCGUGCGAUACAGGGUGACAGCCCCGUACACAAAAAUGCACAUAUUGUGAGCUCGAUGAGUAGGGCGGGACACGUGGUAUCCUGUCUGAAUAUGGGGGGACCAUCCUCCAAGGCUAAAUACUCCUGACUGACCGAUAGUGAACCAGUACCGUGAGGGAAAGGCGAAAAGAACCCCGGCGAGGGGAGUGAAAAAGAACCUGAAACCGUGUACGUACAAGCAGUGGGAGCACGCUUAGGCGUGUGACUGCGUACCUUUUGUAUAAUGGGUCAGCGACUUAUAUUCUGUAGCAAGGUUAACCGAAUAGGGGAGCCGAAGGGAAACCGAGUCUUAACUGGGCGUUAAGUUGCAGGGUAUAGACCCGAAACCCGGUGAUCUAGCCAUGGGCAGGUUGAAGGUUGGGUAACACUAACUGGAGGACCGAACCGACUAAUGUUGAAAAAUUAGCGGAUGACUUGUGGCUGGGGGUGAAAGGCCAAUCAAACCGGGAGAUAGCUGGUUCUCCCCGAAAGCUAUUUAGGUAGCGCCUCGUGAAUUCAUCUCCGGGGGUAGAGCACUGUUUCGGCAAGGGGGUCAUCCCGA